GACGUAGGGCGCGAGCGUUGUCCGGAUUUAUUGGGCGUAAAGAGCUCGUAGGCGGCUUGUCGCGUCGAAUGUGAAAACCCACAGCUCAACUGUGGGCUUGCAUUCGAUACGGGCAGGCUAGAGUUCGGUAGGGGAGACUGGAAUUCCUGGUGUAGCGGUGAAAUGCGUAGAUAUCUGGAGGAACACCGGUGGCGAAGGCGGCAUCCUGGACCGGUAUUGACGCUGAGGCGCGAAAGCUAGGGUAGCAAACGGG
rnacentral:rRNA from 1 species